UACGUAGGUGGCGAGCGUUAUCCGGAUUUACUGGGUGUAAAGGGAGCGUAGACGGUAAAGCAAGUCUGAAGUGAAAUGCCAGUGCUCAACACUGGAACUGCUUUGGAAACUGUUUGGCUGGAGUGCAGGAGAGGUAAGUGGAAUUCCUAGUGUAGCGGUGAAAUGCGUAGAUAUAUGGAGGAACACCGGUGGCGAAAGCGGCUCUCUGGCCUGUAACUGACACUGAGGCUCGAAAGCGUGGGGAGCAAACAGG
rnacentral:rRNA from 1 species